AUUGAACGCUGGCGGCAUGCCUUACACAUGCAAGUCGAACGGCAGCACGGGUGCUUGCACCUGGUGGCGAGUGGCGAACGGGUGAGUAAUACAUCGGAACGUACCUUAUCGUGGGGGAUAACGCAGCGAAAGUUGCGCUAAUACCGCAUACGCCCUGAGGGGGAAAGCGGGGGACCGUAAGGCCUCGCGCGAUUAGAGCGGCCGAUGUCUGAUUAGCUUGUUGGUGGGGUAAAAGCCCACCAAGGCAACGAUCAGUAGCGGGUCUGAGAGGACGAUCAGCCACACUUGGACUGAGACACGGCCCGGACUCCUACGGGAGGCAGCGGUGGGGAAUUUUGGACAAUGGGGGCAACCCUGAUCCAGCAAUGCCGCGUGAGUGAAGAAGGCCUUCGGGUUGUAAAGCUCUUUUGUCAGGGAAGAAACACCGGCUCUAACACAGUCCGGGAAUGACGGUACCUGAAGAAUAAGCACCGGCUAACUACGUGCCAGCAGCCGCCGUAA
rnacentral:rRNA from 1 species